UACGGGGGGGGCAAGCGUUGUUCGGAUUUACUGGGCGUAAAGGGCGCGUAGGCGGCCACCGCAAGUCAGUUGUGAAAGCUCUGGGCUUAACCCAGAAAGGUCAACUGAUACUGCGGGGCUAGAGUGCAGAAGGGGCAACUGGAAUUCUCGGUGUAGCGGUGAAAUGCGUAGAUAUCGAGAGGAACACCUGCGGCGAAGGCGGGUUGCUGGGCUGACACUGACGCUGAAGUGCGAAAGCUAGGGGAGCGAACGGG
rnacentral:rRNA from 1 species